rnacentral:rRNA from 1 species
UACGGAGGGUGCAAGCGUUGUUCGGAUUUACUGGGCGUAAAGCGCGCGCAGGUGGAUGAACAAGUCGGAAGUGAAAUCUUGAGGCUCAACCUCGGGGCUGCUCCCGAAACUGUUCGUCUAGGGACUGGUAGAGGCUGGUAGAAUUCCCGGUGUAGCGGUGGAAUGCGUAGAGAUCGGGAAGAAUACCCGUGGCGAAGGCGGCCAGCUGGGCCAGGUCCGACACUGAGGUGCGAAAGCGUGGGGAGCAAACAGG